rnacentral:rRNA from 1 species
UACGAAGGGGGCGAGCGUUGUUCGGAAUUACUGGGCGUAAAGGGCGCGUAGGCGGCCUGCUAAGUCGAACGUGAAAUCCCUGGGCUCAACCCAGGAACUGCGUCCGAUACUGGUUGGCUUGAAUCCGGGAGAGGGAUGUGGAAUUCCAGGUGUAGCGGUGAAAUGCGUAGAUAUCAGGAAGAACACCAAUGGCGAAGGCAGCUCUCUGGGACGGUACUGACGCUGAGACGCGAAAGCGUGGGGAGCGAACAGG